rnacentral:rRNA from 1 species
GACGAACGCUGGCGGCGUGCCUAAUACAUGCAAGUCGAACGCAGUGGGGACGGGUGAGUAACACGUGGGUAACCUCCCAUCAGAGGGGAUAACACUUGGAAACAGGUGCUAAACCGAUACUGAUGGAUGGACCCGCGGUGCAUUAGCUAGUUGGUGGGGAAACGGCUCACCAAGGCCACGAUGCAUAGCCGGCCUGAGAGGGUGAACGGGCAAAAUGGGACUGAGAAACGGCCCAGAAUCCUACGGGAGGCAGCAGUAGGGGAUCAUCGGCAAUGGACGGAAGGCUGACCGAGCAAAUCCGCGUGGGUGGAGAAGGGUUUCGGAGCGGAAAGCUCUGUUGUUAGAGAAGCGGUAACUAACCAGAAAGGGACGGCUAACUACGUGCCAGCAGCCGCGGUAAUUC